AAUAGAUACCCAGGUAGUCCACGCCGUAAACGAUGAGUGCUAGGUGUUAGGGGGGUCCAACCCCUUAGUGCUGAAGUUAACACAUUAAGCACUCCGCCUGGGGAGUACGACCGCAAGGUUGAAACUCAAAGGAAUUGACGGGGGCCCGCACAAGCAGUGGAGCAUGUGGUUUAAUUCGAAGCAACGCGAAGAACCUUACCAGGUCUUGACAUCCUCUGACAACCCUAGAGAUAGGGCGUUCCCCUUCGGGGGACAGAGUGACAGGUGGUGCAUGGUUGUCGUCAGCUCGUGUCGUGAGAUGUUGGGUUAAGUCCCGCAACGAGCGCAACCCUUGAUGUUAGUUGCCAGCAUUCAGUUGGGCACUCUAACGUGACUGCCGGUGACAAACCGGAGGAAGGUGGGGAUGACGUCAAAUCAUCAUGCCCCUUAUGACCUGGGCUACACACGUGCUACAAUGGGCGGUACAAAGGGCAGCGAAACCGCGAGGUGGAGCCAAUCCCAUAAAGCCGCUCUCAGUUCGGAUUGCAGG
rnacentral:rRNA from 1 species